CGGCGCCAGCCGCCUCCCUCUCCGCGCUCUGCGACCGCCGCGGCGAACAUGGCCUCAGGAGUGCAAGUUGCCGACGAAGUAUGUCGCAUUUUUUAUGACAUGAAAGUUCGGAAGUGCUCCACGCCAGAAGAAAUCAAGAAAAGAAAGAAGGCUGUCAUCUUCUGUCUCAGUGCAGACAAAAAGUGCAUCAUCGUGGAGGAAGGCAAAGAGAUCUUGGUGGGAGAUGUUGGUGUCACCAUAACUGAUCCUUUCAAGCAUUUUGUGGGGAUGCUUCCUGAAAAAGAUUGUCGCUAUGCUCUGUAUGAUGCAAGCUUUGAAACAAAGGAAUCCAGAAAAGAGGAGUUGAUGUUUUUCCUGUGGGCACCAGAACUAACUCCUCUGAAGAGUAAAAUGAUCUACGCGAGCUCCAAGGAUGCCAUCAAAAAGAAGUUCCAAAGGCAUAAAACACGAAUGUCAAGCAAAUGGGCCAGAAGACCUCAAUCGGGCUUGUAUUGCUGAAAAGCUAGGUGGAUCCCUAAUUGUAGCUUUUGAAGGAUGCCCCGUGUAGACCAUCAUCUGGUGCCACAAAUCGAAAGCUUCCGUGUUUAAUGUUAUCCUCUUGCUAUGUAUAAGUAAAGCAGACAAUGUUUAGGCUAGGGACUCACUGAA